CUACAGGGGUAGGAGUGAAAUCUUGUAAUCCCUGUGGGACCACCAGUGGCGAAGGCGUCUUACCAGAACGGGUCCGACGGUGAGGGACGAAAGCUGGGGGCACGAACCGGAUUAGAUACCCGGGUAGUCCCAGCCGUAAACGAUGCUCGCUAGGUGUCUGGAAUGGUGCGACCGUUUCAGGUGCCGCAGGGAAGCCGUGAAGCGAGCCACCUGGGAAGUACGGCCGCAAGGCUGAAACUUAAAGGAAUUGGCGGGGGAGCACUACAACGGGUGGAGCCUGCGGUUUAAUUGGACUCAACGCCGGACAACUCACCGGGGGCGACAGCAAUAUGUAGGUCAAGCUAAAGACUUUACCUGAAUCGCUGAGAGGAGGUGCAUGGCCGUCGUCAGUUCGUACUGUGAAGCAUCCUGUUAAGUCAGGCAACGAGCGAGACCCGUGCCCACUGUUGCCAGCAUAUCCUUUGGGAUGAUGGGUACUCUGUGGGGACCGCCGAUGCUAAAUCGGAGGAAGGUGCGGGCUACGGUAGGUCAGUAUGCCCCGAAUCUCCCGGGCGACACGCGGGCUACAAUGGUUGGGACAAUGGGCUCCUACACUGAAAAGUGACGGUAAUCUCAUAAACCCAGCCGUAGUUCGAAUUGAGGGCUGAAACCCGCCCUCAUGAAGCUGGAAUCCGUAGUAAUCGCGUUUCAAUAUACGCGCGGUG
rnacentral:rRNA from 1 species